ACUUGGAGCUCCACCAAGACAAUUUAUUUUGAAGCUACAUCAGCAUCAGUUCUUGAAGACAUCAUGAAGAAAGUGGCAAACAAAAGAAAUCUGAUUUUUGAAGGAGACAGCAUAAGAAUUUUCAGAGAUUAUCCAGCCGGUCAUCAA